GAUGAAUGCUGGCGGCGUGCCUAACACAUGCAAGUCGAGCGGCAGCGCGGUCUUCGGACUGGCGGCGAGCGGCGGACGGCUGAGUAACGCGUGGGAACAUACCCCAAAGUGAGGAAUAACUGCCCGAAAGGGUGGCUAAUGCCGCAUAUGGUCUUCGGAUUAAAGGAUUUAUCCGCUUUGGGAAUGGCCUGCGUAAGAUUAGAUAGUUGGUGAGGUAAUGGCUCACCAAGUCGACGAUCUUUAACUGGGCUUAGAGGAUGAUCAGUCAGACUGGAACUGAGACACGGUCCAGACUCCUACGGGAGGCAGCAGUGAGGAAUCUUCCACAAUGGGCGAAAGCCUGAUGGAGCAACGCCGCGUGCAGGAUGAAGGCCUUCGGGUCGUAAACUGCUUUUAUAAGUGAAGAAUAUGACGGUAACUUAUGAAUAAGCACCGGCUAACUACGUGCCAGCAGCCGCCGUA
rnacentral:rRNA from 1 species